rnacentral:lncRNA from 1 species
UUUAAGUUACGAAUUCUUGAAAUUGAGAGAAGUAUCAAAGUAAGUUUUAUUUAGUACCUAUAACAUAUCACCAACAUUAAUAACUAAAGCCCCGGGAAUAGGAGAAAUCUCUACCCAUUCCCCAUUCUUUUCCAUAUCUACUGUUAUAGGCUAAUUUUGGGCCCAUUUACAUUAAACCCCCAUAAGCCCAUUUACAUUACAAUACCCGGAGCCCAAUAAUCUAAACCCAUUUACCUCUUUUACAACCCAAACCCGGUUGACCCAUUAAACCCCUACCCAAUACCAUUAACCCACUUAAACCUCAGCCCGUUUCAUAACCCCAAAACUUAACAAAUUACUAAACCCAAAUACAACCCAAUAACUAAACCUACCCGAGCCCACCUAAGCUAACCCAACCUAACCCAAAACCAGACCCAAAACCCCCAAGCCCAACUAAUACAUCAGCCAACCCAAAAUUUAAACCCCAUUUACAACCAACCCAAACCCCAAACAAUACCCAAAACCCGAAUGACCCACUAAACCUAGCCCAAUAGCCAUCACCCUAACCCUAAUCAGCCUCCAUUUGUCUUCUGCUGCCCACUUGCGCCCCCAACCCUGCAGCACCGGCCACCUGCCCUCUGCGCCCCCAUACCACUGUCACCUCCACCGUUCAACUGCUCCUGCAAGACAAGAAAAGAGACAAGACAUCAAACAUUAAAUAAAAGUGUUGUAAAGGCUAUAAAAGCCGAUUUAGAUUUCUGUAAAAGGGGAUUCGGCAAUCUUAAUGAAAAAAACAGAUUUCAACAAUCAAAAAUACAAAAACCCAUUCGAUUUUUGAAGUAAGAUCUCAAAAUCCAUUAGCAUCCAAGUAAGGGACAUCAUCAAAAUCAAGCCAAUAUCAGAGAUAAAAAAUCAAAAGCUUUAAAAAGAAAAAAACCUAAGGUGAUUUCUUUUUUCCUUUUUUUUUUAUUUCGUUUUUUAGGCUAUUUUCAUACAUAUAAUACAAAAACAAAUAUAAAAGAUAAGAUACUAAAAAAUAAAAAAUAUAUAUAAAAAUUUUUCACCUUUCCCGGUGGUCGGCGCCGGCGUCGGCGACGGUCCGGCGAUCGGACCGGUGCCCCCGGCUGGAAAUCGCCCCAGCUCUCCUCUCCCCUCUCCCCUUUCCUUUUUUUUUUCUUUUGUU